AUACGUAGGGGGCGAGCGUUGUCCGGAAUUACUGGGCGUAAAGGGCGCGUAGGCGGCAGAUUAAGUCUUGUGUGAAAACCCUGGUUUCAAGUCAGGAGGGGCACGGGAAACUGGUCAGCUUGAGUGCAGGAGAGGGAAGCGGAAUUCAAAGUGUAGCGGUGGAAUGCGUAGAGCUUUGGAGGGACAUCAGUGGCGAAGGCGUAUUUCUGAACUAUAACUGACGCUGAGGCGCGAGAUCGUGGGGAGCAAACAGGAUUAGAUACCCGGGUAGUCCACGCCGUAAACGAUGAAUGCUAGGUGUAGGAGGUAUCGACCCCUUCUGUGCCGGAGUCAACACAAUAAGCAUUCCGCCUGGGGAGUACGGCCGCAAGGUUGAAACUCAAAGGAAUUGACGGGG
rnacentral:rRNA from 1 species